CACAUUGAAGACAAAUACAGUCUGUCUCCUGUCCAGCUCCUAGUAAUGGGAGAAAGGAUCCAAUUUUUGAGCAGAUUUUAACCAAUCACUUACAAUGUUUGGGCACGUCCAGACGAAAUGACUGAAGACAAAAACUGAUGAGAGGGAAAUUUUGCAAUGAGGAAGCGGUAAAAAGUUCUACCCAUACAGACAUCUUUUUUCUAAAGCUUCAGAGCAAACCAAUCAACGUAUCAGUGAAUUUUGCUCCUUGCCUGAUGACCAAUCACUGAACAAAUGUUAGGGAAUUUGCAACCUAUCAAGAGUGAAACCUCCUGGUAGGAAACACCAAUCUCCCCAUAAUUGGAGAUUUUGCACAAAGAAUGCGAAGAGUGGGCUUUGUGAAAAUUGUGGAGACCCUGAUGAGGGAAGAUGGCCUGGAGGUGAGGAAUUCUGUGGGGCCUGAAAAUUCAUUAUCCACCUAUCUCACUGGAUAAAGACAGGAUGAAUUAAGAAGAAUGAAGAAUCCAUUAUGUAUUUUUUUUACAC